GAUGAACGCUGGCGGCGUGCCUAAUACAUGCAAGUCGAGCGAACAGACGAGGAGCUUGCUCCUCUGACGUUAGCGGCGGACGGGUGAGUAACACGUGGAUAACCUACCUAUAAGACUGGGAUAACUUCGGGAAACCGGAGCUAAUACCGGAUAAUAUAUUGAACCGCAUGGUUCAAUAGUGAAAGACGGUUUUGCUGUCACUUAUAGAUGGAUCCGCGCCGCAUUAGCUAGUUGGUAAGGUACGGCUUACCAAGGCAACGAUGCGUAGCCGACCUGAGAGGGUGAUAGGCCAAACUGGAACUGAGACACGGUCCAGACUCCUACGGGAGGCAGCAGUAGGGAAUCUUCCGCAAUGGGCGAAAGCUUGACGGAGCAACGCCGCGUGAGUGAUGAAGGUCUUCGGAUCGUAAAACUCUGUUAUUAGGGAAGAACAAAUGUGUAAGUAACUAUGCACGUCUUGACGGUACCUAAUCAGAAAGCCACGGCUAACUACGU
rnacentral:rRNA from 1 species